rnacentral:rRNA from 1 species
UAUCUCUGUAGAGUCUGCAUAUCAAUAAGCGGAGGAAAAGAAACUAACAAGGAUUCCCUUAGUAACGGCGAGUGAAGCGGGAAGAGCUCAAAUUUGAAAUCUUCAAGGUUUUACCUUGACGAAUUGUAGUUUAAAGAAGUGUUUUCUGUUGGAGUUUUGGUAAAAGUUCUUUGGAAUAGGACAUCAUAGAGGGUGAGAAUCCCGUAUUUGACCAUUUCUUCCAGCUGUGUGAUACACUUUCAAAGAGUCGGAUUGUUUGGGAAUGCAGUCCAAAAUGGGUGGUAAAUUUCAUCUAAAGCUAAAUAUUGGCGAGAGACCGAUAGCGAACAAGUACUCGUGAGGGAAAGAUGAAAAGAACUUUGAAAAGAGAGUUAAACAGUACGUGAAAUUGUCAAAAGGGAAGCGUUUGACACCAGUGUUGUUUUCUCGAAAAUCAAUUAAAAAUGGCUUGAUUUUGUGUUGUAUUGACCUUAAAAGCUUUCUGCACUUUUUUCAUGUCCUUUUUAAUGCACUUUUCGUUUAACAAGUCAACAUCAGUUUCUUUUGUUGUAAAAAGGUCAUUGGAAGGUGGCUUUCUUUUCGGAGAAAGUGUUUAUAGCCUUUGACUCCUGCAAUCGGAGAGACUGAGGUCUGCAGCGUAGAUCCUUCUUGGAUUAGAUUCAUUUGUGCUAAGUUAUAGCUUUUUAUAGACAACUUGUUGACUAUAUUUAGUCUUGUAGCUUACUCGCUUAUGCAAUUUUACCUACGCUUAGGAUGUUGAACGCGCACAGAGUCUC